GUGCCAGCCGCCGCGGUAAUACGAAGGGGGCUAGCGUUGUUCGGAAUCACUGGGCGUAAAGGGCGCGUAGGCGGCCAUAUAAGUCGGGGGUGAAAGCCUGUGGCUCAACCACAGAAUUGCCUUCGAUACUGUAUGGCUCGAGACCGGAAGAGGUAAGUGGAACUGCGAGUGUAGAGGUGAAAUUCGUAGAUAUUCGCAAGAACACCAGUGGCGAAGGCGGCUUACUGGUCCGGUUCUGACGCUGAGGCGCGAAAGCGUGGGGAGCAAACAGGAUUAGAAACCCUUGUAGUCC
rnacentral:rRNA from 1 species